AGGUGACUAUCCCCCCACCCUGCCCCUGCGUCGCGGCGCGUCGCGCUGCUGCUCCCGCCCCAGCCGGGGCCGAAGAUGGGGCGGCGGCUGCGGUUUUCCACACGACUUCCUUGGAUCUCGGGGCACACGCGCCGAUAGUUCGGACGCGAGUCCGGGCUGGUUUUGCUCCGUUUUACUGCGUUUGAUUACUAAUUUAAAAGCUUUGCGUUCCCCGUCGCCCCGGCCCGCUUUUCUCCUGCAUUCUCCCCUCGGCCCCCGUCCCCGCCCUGCGAUCGCUGGAGGGGGCGUCGGGGCUCGCGCGCCAGAACCCGGCUCCUCCGAAGCCCCCUCCGGGCCCCACCGCCCCCCUCGCGCCUCCCGGCCCCCGCCUCCUCCCCUUCGCCCCCACCCAACGGCUGCUGCUUCGGGCUUCGCGGCUCAAAAACAACAGCGGAGGCGCCGCCAGCUCCGCGCUCCGCCACUGCCCAGGCCGGCGGGCGGCACUCGGACCCGCCGCCCUCGGUCCCUCGCGAGGCCACGGAGGCCAACACGCCUCGCACGGGGGGACAGCGCGGGGGCAGCCGUCCAAACACCAGGCGUCCUCGGCUGGUCGUCCCAGGGCGCCCGCACCUCUCCGCCCGCGCUCUCCUGCCGCCGCGCCCCCAAGGUGAGUACCCGGCUGCGCGAGCGCCCGAGCUGGGCCACCUUCGGGGACCCGGGCCACUGGGGACACUCCCCUCUGGCCUCUCGGGGCCCAGGUGCGUAGCGGGCGGAAAGGCCAGCGGCGCAGGUGGAGCAGCUCGGACGGGAGCCGACCAGACGCUUCCUCUUCCCCUGUAGCCCCCAAACUCCGAGGCGCUGCGGCGGAGGGGCCGGGCUGAGCGCAGGCAGGGUGGCCCGGGCCCAGGAGCCUGACGGCCUGAGUGCGGAUUUCUCAUCUGAGUAUCUGGGAAUCGAGAAUGAAUUGGAAGGAAACCGAGGCGCUGCCCUGGCCAGGUUGCUGCCCCGCACCCUUCCGGAGCACCGAAGUCCUGCCCGGCAACGGGACUUGGAGCUGCCGCAGAGUCAGCCUGAGCCCGAGGCAGGGGUCGCGCCCGCGAUGCGGGGUCUCUGCGCCGCCCCGCGAGGCUCCUGGCCUUGCCCUCCCUGCCCUUUGUUGUGUAAUAAGACCUGUGGCGGCUCCACUGAGACCCACACGUGCAACUCCGCGCCUCCGCGUUAAAGGAGGUGAAACGCAGCAGCCCUGAGAAACCCCGAGACCCCGGUGUCCUAGCAGAGGCGCCCCGGAUGGGGAGGGGCGCGGGGCCGGCGCCACCCCAGAGGAAAAGCCCAGCGGAGCCGGGUUGGGCAGGAGCUGGCGGCGGCGGUGCGCUGGGCCUUCUGCCUUGGAUCCUCCGCGGUCGGCACCGCUUCCCUGCUCAGAUUCGAACCCAGAUUCGGCUCCCAAGGCUCCCACGGCUCCAGGGUGCCCAGUCUUGCAGCCAGCUCGCCGCCCGAGCCCCGGAUGGAGGAAGCGCUCACUGGCCGCUACCUCUGCUGUUUCUGGCACCAGAGAUUGAGACUGUGAACCUGAACUCCCUUGAUCUCCUCCCGUUGGGCCCAGGAGGGAGCCGAAUCCAGGCCCAACCGGGCUCACUGAGAAGGUGCAGGAAGCCCCCAACGACUCCUACUCGUGUGCGGCCCAUACUGGGCCAGGACGCUGCAGUGGCCGAGCCGCUGGGUGUCUGCAACGGGGAGCUCCCCCGCCGCUGGGGGCAAUAAACGGAAUCGGUUUCACACGCUUUCCCUCUUGAUCUAAGAACCUUUAAAAAUCCGCCAACGAAUGCUGUUGCCUGGAUGCGCUGCCUAUGACCUUCAGCCGUGUGUUCACGCGCGCCCGCAGCCGUGGAGUGGCGGUCCCUCCUGCCGCCCGCAACCCCGGGGCCGCCGGUCUGCGCACACCGGGAGCAACUUCGUUACCCACAGCGCCCGCGUCCUGCGGCUCGCGCGGAACUGCGCGCGGGAAGGUGGCAGAGCGACGCUCCAGAACGCUGCUUGCGUAGACGCUGCCGCUGCCUUCAGAUCCCAAUUCGGCCGCGCGCGGGCGGGGCCCUGGCAGCAACGAAAAUGGCGAGCCUCGUAGCCUUCCGGGCCCGGCGGCCACAUUCCGGGAGUCGCCAGGUGGGAGCCCGCCUUCCGUGUCCCCAAACGCCCAGAGCCCGGGACACGGGCCGGCGGCCGGGUCACCAAGCCAGUUCCCGGAAUCGGCUCGCGCCGGAAUCCAGACUCGGCUUGCAAAGCCCGCUCCUGCCGUCUCUCCGCAGCGCGCCCUGCCCCCCACUGCCGGCCCUCUUAGCUUCAAAACCAAAUUUUGCCUUUCAUCCUGAGAGAUUAAUACCCCGCAGGUGAAACCGUGGAGACGGAGCUGCGGUGGGUUUCUUUUCCACGCCUCAGUUUCCUCGUCUGUGAAAUGGGACCAGGCGCGCCUGUGCUUCUCCGGGAGUUUAUUGCAGGGCUGGCUGGAGAGAAUGGCUGGGUGGAAGCUGCCAGGAGGAGGCCCAAGGCCGCCCACCCCGUGGGCCUCGUUUGCUGAGCGGGGGUCAGAGGCGUGCGGGACAGGGCGCGCCCCACGGCGGCUCUGGAGGCGGCCCGGCCCGUCCCUGUCUCCUCCCCUCGCUCCCCCUCCCCCGGCCUUCCCGGAACUCUCCUCGCCCGCUGGGUGGAGGAGGGGCGAGGGCCGACUCCGCCGCCCCUGGGGUCUCCCUCCUCCCACCCCCACCGCAGAGUCUGGCCCGCCCUGGGCUUUCCUCUCAGGUCCCUUUGGGUCUCCAGAAGCCCGGAGGUUUCGCGCAGACUCGAACCUGAGAUGACACCACCCAGCACCCCAAAUCCUGCAGAGUGUGGAGGGGAUCUGGGGAGAAGGCAGGGGCUGCCCGGGCGCUCUGGCUGCUGGGGGUGGGGGACAGGGCCUGCCGGGGAAGCGGGUCGGGGGAGGACUGGAGACCCAGGCUCCCCUAGGUACAACGAACCUCGCGGGAGGGAAUACGCCAUCCCCGUACCCACUUCCGAGGACGUAGGUCUUUUGGCACCGGCGGCAGCCGCGUUCCCACACAUCUGGGCGGGGCCCCGCAGCAUGGCCUGGGGAGCUGAGGCUUCGGGAUCCGGCACAAACUACCAUUCUAGGUGUAGACGGAGGAGGUGGGGUGUGGGAAGCAGGGGGCCAUGGUCUGAGCAGACCUUCUCACCUCUGGGCCUCCCACCUCCUGGGGCAGGACUUACGGGGAAGGACCCGAGGGGAGUGGGGUGUCCAUAGGGACACCCAAGGGUCUAUCCCUGCGAGCUUUGCUUUCUACUAAACCAAUAAUCGCAGUGGUGGUGGCAGUCGAGACACGGCUCAAAGAGCCGGCAAGAAUAGAGCAGAGACCAGGAUCGCCCCAGGCAGGGAAAAAAUGACCAGUUCUGUAGAGUGACCCGAAGGUGAUGGAAUCACUCGGGCGUCCUCCUGGGAAAGAGCUGCCUGCUCCCCCGCCGCCGCCAGUACACCGGCGCCCAUGCCCCGGGGGCUGGAGAGAGCAGCCAGGCACAGGAGGCGCUGCAAGGCUCCGUGCUCCUGGAGCUUCGAGUCUAUGGUAUGAGUUAAACAGAAGGGUAUCUCCUCCAUCAGAUCUACAGGAGGGUGUCUGCUCCAUCAGACCUGGAGCUUCCAAGGCAUUUUACCCGAAGCUCCAGCACCUGGCCCAAGGCUGGGCUGUGCUGUGUCCUCAGUGAAAGAAUGGAUGAGUCACAGCUGAAUGACUGAAGAGCUGAACCAAUGGGAAAACUGAUGCUCAGAGGCUUGAGCAACCUAGGCCAGGACCUGUCCUUAGAGGCAGAAGCAGGACUCAGAGGAAGAGCACCCUGACCACAAAGCCCCAGGUGACUUACACUGCAGGGAUGGCGCUCUCCGGGGUGUGCAGGGUGGCAGAGGUGCCUCUGCAGAGAGAUCCCUGCCUGGGACCCUUUCCUGGGGCUCUUCUGGUGCUGGGAGUGUGAGCACCACGAAAGCCCCACUACAGUCAUGCCACCCAGAGGGCGCUCUGGCCUCUUGGUCACCCGUGUCCUUCUGGCAAUGACCAAUACACUUUUUUGCCAGGGUCCAGAAAGACUCAGCCACUGGAGUCUGUAUUUCCUGAGUCGCCUCUCACUGGUAAGUCCUGAGCCCCGUUCCUUCCCAGCACCCACUCUUGGAGCAGCUCUCCAGGGCUGUGCUGUGGCUGCUGCGGUCAGGGAGAGGUCGCAUGCUCCAGCCAGGGUCUUUGGGGACUCAGUUUAGAACUAAUACGCCAAGCAAGUCGUGCUGAGUGUCUGGGCUUCUUCUAGGAAGGUAUUUCCAAUCAUCAAAUGUGCCAUUAAAAAAAAUGCAUGUCAGUUAAGUGUGCACUAAGCCUGGACCACAUGGGACAUAGUGGUUCCAAUAAACACGAAUAAGCCAGUUUUCACAUUAGAGAAAUACCAGUUUCUUGCAGAAAUGCGGUGCUUUUAAAAGAGGUUAAUUAAUAAACAGCAGGUAAUUGUUCGUGGCACGUUGUGGCAGAGGGUAAUUUUCAUUUUAGAGGAUGGAAGGGCCAAAUACCCCUCCCCACUCAGCAUUUUUCUGUAAUAAUCACCUCAGCUUCACCUCCGCCUUUCAUUUUUACAGCUGGAGCUGUUUAUCAUCGCUCCAACUUUCACUAAAAAGGAAAAACUAUCACUUAAACAAAGCCAUUGAAACCCCAGCAUCAUGUGUGGAUUUUUUAACAUAAAUAAAUCAUACAAACUAAGAUUUAUGUUCUUGGAAUGAUGUCAUUCAUUGAAGGCUGCCUUCCCAAUCAAAGCCGUGUUUAGUGAUUUUUCUUUAGUGGGUGUGCUUUUUGCUAAAUAGGAAAAACCCGUUCGGUCAUCCUUGCUGCUGUCUUUUCUCGGUUUGGCCCAGAACAUCAGAAAGGUUUCUCCCUGGGCCAGUCCACAGAGCCAAAUGGUGAAAAUGGUUUUAACUCCACAGACUGCUUUUAAAGCCUUUGCUUUGGAACCGUUAAGUCUGAGAUCAAAAGACUGUUAAACCUUCCCUAAGAAUGUGUGCAGGCCUCAGCAGAAGUUUAUGGUCCUCCCAGGUCUCCCAGAGCCUAGAAUGAAUCUCGCUGCAGAGUAACGCAUCUGCAGAAGCUUCACCAAAUUGAAAUGAGUGAGGAGCAUUAAAAUCAGCACACGUGGAUAAAUAACAGGUGGCAUAUCCAUGCAAUGGAAUACUAUGUCGCCAUGAAAAGGAAUGAAGAGCUGACGCUUGUUACAGCAUGAAUGAACCUGGAAAACAUGACGCUCCGUGAAAGAAGUCAGUCAUAAAAGGUCACGCUUUGUGUGAUUCCAUUUAUACGAGAUGUCCAGGAUGGGCCAAUCCAUAGAGACUGAAGACAUAUUAGUGGUUGCCUGGCUGUAGAAGUAGAGGCAGUAGUACUCUGGGCCAAUGAAGGCCCUGGGAACAGAUGGGCCACACCAGAGUCCAGCUUCAGCCCUCCAGGCAUUGAAAGGAGACCAUUAGCUGGAAGCCAGUGGGAAGUCGGGCUGACUAAUAGGGACAGGUGUCCAGGAGGCUGCAGUGUGAGGCUUUCAUUUGUUCAAGCAACACACAUUCACUGCACUCUUACCGUGUGCCAGGGACAGCCAUAGGCCCUGAGACUACAGCAGUGAUGGAGACAGACGCUGCUCCCAUCAAGGUCAUGUUUUGAUGGGGAAAGCAGCAAUAAGCCAAAUACAUAUGGGUCUGGGGUGCCAGGCUAGACGAUUCUAGUGCAAUGGACAUGAAAGAGGAGAGAGGUGAAGGCACAGUCUUCAAUCGGUUGUUCAAGAAAGGCCUCACUGAAGUGGUGACAUUUGGGCAGAGACGUCAGGGAGGGAUGAGGGAGCCACCCAAGUGUCUGGGAGAACAGCACUGGGGCAGAUGGAACAGCCAGUGCAAAGGCCCUGAGGCUCCAGUGACCAGUGUGGCUGCUGCAGAAGGACGGGGAGGGGAGGAGGGGAAAACCGUGUAGAGUGGCAGUGGGAGGACAGAUUAAGGCUGCAGGUGGAAUUAAAGUUGCUCUUUCAGCUGACUUUAAAGUAGGGAGACGAUUCCAGAUUAUCUGGGUGGCCUUAAUGUCAUCACGAGGAUCCUUAAAAGUGGAAGAGGGAGGCAGGAGAGUCAGGAUUAGGAUGAAGUGGAGAUAUGUGAGAAUAUGAGGAAGAUUCCCCUGGCUGUGCUGGCUCUGAAGACAGAGGAAGGGCCCACGAACCAAGUUACGUGAAUACGGACAGACUCUAGAAGCUAAAAAAGGCAAGGAAAUGGAUUCUAGAGCCUCCAGCAAGGAAGGCAGCCCUAUGCAUGCCUUGACUUUAGGACACUGAGAUCCAUUUCGGACUUCUGACCCACAAAACCAAAAUCUAGUAAGUGUGUGCUAUUUGAAGCUGCUAAAUUUGUAGUAAUUUGUUACAGCAGCCACCAGAAAUUAAUAUGGGGAGGAAAUAGGGAUUUCAUCUGUCCAUAGUAAAGACAUGCCGGGGGUGAUAAGAAUCUGAGCCCAUCUCACCUAGAUGAGAACGAGAGAGUAAUGACCACAGAAUAGUGGUGAUGGCCAUCCUCACAUCUGGCUCCUUAGCCACCCAUGCCAGUAUGGACUGACUGCCUUCUACGUCUUGUCCAUGGCCAUUCUCUAGGGAAAUUCCCUUGCAUCUCCUGCUACCUUUACAGACUACAUAUUUUGUUGGAUUACUUUCUCAUUUUCAUGAAGCAUAUCUUCUAGUAACUUCUGAUAAAAGAUGCAUAGGAGAUAAAUAUUUUAGGACUUCCACAGUACCAGAAUGAUGGAUGAACUGGGUAUAGAAUUCCAGAUUGGAGAUGAUUUUUUUGUUCAGAAUUUUAGAGAAUAUUGCCCCAUUGUCUUCUUGCUACCAGGCAGCUAUUGAGAAGUCUAGGAAGAUUCUGUUUCCUCGGACUUUGUGUGCAGUGUGAUUUUUCCUUUUUGGAAUUUUAUAGAAUCUUCUUUGUCCCAAGUGGUCCCAUAUUCCACAAUGAUGUGCCCUAGAAUGUGUCUGUUUUUAUCCACUGUGAGUUCUUUCCAACUGAGAACUUGUGUCCAUUAGCUCUGGGAAAUUUUCUUGAAAUACUUUCUUAGUGAUUUCUACUCUCUGUUUUGUUUCUUCUUCAUUUUUGAAACUUGAUAUUUAUAUGAGCUUUCUUCUGCACAUAUAAUCUGUGUGUCCACCAAAUGGCUUUGCUCUGUUUGUUUCAAUCUGUCUUUCCUGAGGCAUCUGCUGAUUCUUGGCUUUCUGCCCAUGAUGAGGAGCUGACUGGAAGUUCUGACAGUAAGAGAGGAGGGGUUCAUUGCCCUUGAGACCCAUGAAUGGGAGUGAUCCUUGAUCCUUGGAUGUCAGUAUCUUUAGGAACUGACCUGAUUCCCAGAGAAGUUACCCAGGGAGCAAGGGAGGGUCUGGCUGCCAGUCUUCUUGGAGUCAACUUGGAGUUGAAGGCAGGGGUCUUUGCAGUCAGCUGCCUGAAUUCUGGGAAAUAAACCUCUGGACUUUUGCUGGUGUGGGGGAGGGGUGGUCGCUCAGGGAGGAUAAGGAGGGGAUAGGAAUCCCCCUUUACUAAGCCAUCCUGAUCGUAGCCGCUCUUGCACCCCAAGUCCUAGAGGUACCCUUUUUUUUUGACGGAGUUUCACUCUUAUUGCCCAGGCUGGAGUGCAAUGGUGCGAUCUUGACUCACUGCAGCCUCUGCCUCCUGGGUUCAAAAAUUCUUCUGCCUCAGCCUCUAGAGUAGAUGCGAUUACGGGUGCCCACCACCAGGCCUGGCUAAUUUUUUUUGUAUUUUUAGUAGAGACAGGGUUUCACCAUGUUGGUCAGGCUGGUCUUGAACUCCUGACCUCAGGUGAUCCGCCCACCUUGGCCUCCCAAAAUGCUGGGA
rnacentral:lncRNA from 1 species